CAGCCGCCGCGGUAAUACAGAGGGUGCGAGCGUUAAUCGGAUUUACUGGGCGUAAAGCGUGCGUAGGCGGCUUCUUAAGUCGGAUGUGAAAUCCCUGAGCUUAACUUAGGAAUUGCAUUCGAUACUGGAAAGCUAGAGUAUGGGAGAGGAUGGUAGAAUUCCAGGUGUAGCGGUGAAAUGCGUAGAGAUCUGGAGGAAUACCGAUGGCGAAGGCAGCCAUCUGGCCUAAUACUGACGCUGAGGUACGAAAGCAUGGGGAGCAAACAGGAUUAGAUACCCCCGUAGUCCCUGUCUCUUAUAC
rnacentral:rRNA from 1 species